ACCUUUUACAGAGGAAUAGCCUUUAGAAAUGAGAUAAUGCCUCAUAGUAUUGUAGACUGGCAUCAGUUUAUAAUUAAAGAUUUAUCGGUAAAAGAUGGCUAUGCGUCCUAUUAGUUAGUUGGUAAGGUAACGGCUUACCAAGACAGCGAUAGGUAGGGGUCCUGAGAGGGAGAUCCCCCACACUGGUACUGAGACACGGACCAGACUCCUACGGGAGGCAGCAGUGAGGAAUAUUGGACAAUGGAGGAGACUCUGAUCCAGCCAUGCCGCGUGUAGGAAGAAUGCCCUAUGGGUUGUAAACUACUUUUAUACAGGAAGAA
rnacentral:rRNA from 1 species